GCAGGUUCCCCCACCCCAUGUCAUAGUGAAUGCCACUCAAGACCAAAGAGGGUAAGUAACCUACCCAAGGUCAUUCAGCUGAAUGGUGGCAUAGUUAUCAUUUGUAAUUAGGUCUCCUGGCUCCAAGUCCUCCACCCCGUCACCAUGAUAAUGACCAUUGUCAGCAUCAUCACCAUCAUCGUCAUCAUCAUUACCACAGGCACUGUGAGCUCCCUGUGGGCUGUUUUGCAGCUUUGCCCCUGCCCAGGACCAGGGACCAGCCAGAGCUUCAUAAUUGUCAGCUGAGUGGAAUCCCUUCUUGGGGCAAGUCAGUGAGAAAGACUUUCUCAGGCUGCAGUUGACAACCCUUGGCUGAGGCCCCCACUGUGAGCUGGGCAGGUUGGCCAGGGAAUAAGGAGGAGGAGACUGCUUACUUAGCAUCAGUCAAGGUUGAGGGGCCAUGGGCCAAGUUUCAGCAUCUGCAAAAGGGCUGUUACAAAUAUUCCCUGAAAGCAUCUUCCUGGAGACAGAGCUCUGAGUUUGGGCCUGGCAUGCAGCUCCACAGAGUCUGCUCAGCAUUUUCUGCCAGCAGAGCCAGCCCUGCUGGUCCCAGGAGCAAGUGGGGGCUCACAUAAGACCUCCUCCAUCAGGCUCUUCUGAGGAUCAAUGGAACUAUGACGGCAUGUUCAGCACCCUGCCCCAAGGACAAACUCUCUCCUUACUUGCCUCAUUCUGCUCUGAGUCAGAGGAAUGGCCCAAAUGACCUUGGAGCUCUGUGGCGUCAUCGCUUCUUGCAGCCUUCCCUGGAGAGCUGACUCUCAAGCGAGCAUACCCAGCUGGAAGGCGGAAAGAAUUUUAAGCACAAGGAGCCGAGGCCUGCACUUGAGCAAAUGUCUUCUUCAGCCUACAUUUUCUUCCGAACACCCCAAGCAACUAUGGAAACCCAACCUGUGGAGAGUAAAGGGGCUUCAGAAGGGUUUUGUGUGUUUCUCUCCCUGUUGUCUUUGGAGCGCUGCUUCGUGCAUCUCCAGGAGAGUUGAUAACUGAAUCAAUAGCUGUUUUGCUCUAAUUUAUUGAGCUCUAUUGCCUAAACCUAAUUAGCAUGUUUCUGAGCCAUGAAGUGCUCUAAGUCCUGCACUUAGACGGGGAAUCGAUCCUGCAGCUGCCCUGGGCCGAGCCAAUGUCAGGGAAAGGGAUGGGGGUGGUGGCAUCAUUCCAGUAAAAUUGAGAGCCAGACAGGAAGACACAGCCCAGGAGAGCAACAUCCUGGUGCUUUCGCCACCCCGGGCCCCAGCCCUCAAGGUGGGGACCUUUCACCCCAAGUCCUGGCCCUCAAAAUGGGAGACCAUAGGGGUCUACAUUGGAGAGCCAACCCCACUGCUUGGCAGCUGGGUGCUUGACUUUCUCUAAGCCUUUGUUUCCUUGGCUGGAAUGAGGGUCUGGUGAUGACACCAUAGCAAGGGGUGGGGAAAGCAUUCCUUAAGAAGACCCCACCAAGCCCACACCUUAGUCUUGUCUGAUUGCUAAGAGGGGGCUCUCUAGGUCCAGCAUAGAGUCCAAGUGACCUCACAGGAAGGUUUGUGGCUGGAGGAAGGGGAGGUCAAGUGAUGAUUGGUCAGUCAGAAGAUCCUAGUGGUGGCUGGGCCAGGGGACUUCUAAGGACAGAGGUAUUGAAUGGUCCGAUGUUUGUGUCUCACUGUGCUGUGCUGGAUGUCACUUUCCACACCUGCUUUGAAAGUCUGCAGCGGGCAAGAAUCACAACGUCCAGUCCUACAGGUCAGGCCAGUGUGGAUGAGAGAGUGUGCUCACAGGAAGCAGAGGGUGACACACAGCAGGGCAGUCCCAGGAAGCAGAGACUUGGAGUUAAAGAUAACUCAGAGGAACAAGCUGGCCCUGCAAUAGGGGGCUGUGCUAAGGCCAAAGUCAGGGUGAUGUCAGCAGGCUGCUUUAAAAAAAAAUAAUUG